CAGCAAGAAGUCGAACACACGUAUUUGCGUGCGCGCGCCUCGGUCCUCGUGAGGUCAAAGUGGAUUUUAACCGUUUAUCUCAGACGACAGUUUUCAUUUCUAUGGCAAAUUCUAAGGUCAUUUUCUUGUUGUGUUGUGAUGUUUUCCAUUGGCUGAAGAGCAGAAUACCAUGCAAUUUGAAGAAGUGUGAUAAAAUACACAGAGGUGAAGUCAUGUGUCUUUCCAGAUGCCCAAAUCUGUACCACUCAAAAGAUGAGCCUGAAGAGGAGAUUUGGGAAGAUGCUGUUUUAUAAGUCUUUGCUUUGCCAGAUCACCUGUGGUCGGGAUGUCUGCUAACAAGAGGCCUUGUUGGUCUGGGCGAGUUUGAAGUCUCUCACAGACAGUCCAGAAGGUCUGGAGUCCAUGUUAGCUUUUAUUGAUCAACUACAUACGGUCCCUUGGGGGAGCCAACCCAGGUGAAGUCCACUGAUGUCCUGAGUGCCUACAGCAUGAAAGGGAGGAAGGAAUCAACACAGAAAAACUACAAGGCAUUAAAGGCCCUUGACGUGGAAGACUUAAUUGCAUUAGCCCUGAAAUUUGCCCCACACAGAAAUUUAAAAUGCCUCCCUCAUAAUCAUACCAUGGACAAGGACAUGGUCAGCUAAAGUGGCUUAAAUUUCAUCUGAGACUGCUUGUCACCUUUCACCAUGUCCUCCUCCUCUUCCUCCUCCUUCAACAAGUCCUCUUCCUCCUACUUCUUUCCCUCCUCCUCCUCAAACUAUUACUUCAUUUUUCUGUGAAUCCAUUCUUCCAAAGCUCAGUGAACUGAUUCAGGUCCUUUAUCUAUCUAUUGAAGGAUUUGAUGCUGUUCAGUUUUGACUCUUAGUGUUUCCACCUUGGUAACUGUUUGCUAAUUGAGCCUUAGCUGUGCUGACUUGAGUGAUCAGUAUUGAAUGCUAGUGCUUUCCAUAUGACCACAUGGUGUAAGCCCCGAGAGAUGUAGGGAUUUGUGUGUAGAGUUUUGAAGUAAAACUUCACCAAAUCUAACUCAUGUGUUAAAGCAGGGGAGUAGUGUUUAUUGUUCAGCAAAUUGAUUUUGAAUGAUUGUGCUUCUUGAAAAAUGGCGUUAUGGUUUUGAAAUUUUAGUUCAAAAGCCUGUUUAUAGUGUUUCCGCAAUCGAGAAAAACUGUAAAACAACUGCAUGCUAUUUUUUACAUAAUCUGUUCGGUUGUCAGACAUGAAACGAGUAUACUAUAAAGUAGGGACAACACGACCCAUAAACACCUUGUGUUCAAUUUAACCAGUUGUUCCUUUAACUGCUGCUAAAAUCCUGAUUUAUAAACGCGACAUCGUCUGAAGCGCUUGCAACAGCCGUUUACCAGUAAAAUAUAAAUGUAAAUUGGAACCACCAUACUCAAUCCCACAGCGACAUCUUAAAAUAAAAACUCGUUUCAAUCUGUAUAAAAACUGUACUAUUGCAGUAUUAAACUUUUACCAACUUGUAGCAGUCGAAGUAACAAAAAAAAACUUUUGAAUAGAUUUAUUCUAAAAAUACUAAGGUAAAAGAGAAUCAUUUUGCUGAUUAAAUCAGUUGUUGUAGAGAAAAUAGCCUACUUUUAAAGAAACCAUGCGUAAAAGAUAGCAUACUUUUAAAAAUGAUGGUGUGAAACUUUUUUACUUUUAUACACUUUAUCAUAUUGGUUUAAUAACUCUGCUUGUUCGAAUCUGUAUAUAUAUAUAUAUAUAUAUAUAUAUAGCCUAUAUAGUUUAAAAUAAAAUGUCGUAAAGAAUCAUUAUCAAAAUUACUACUAAUAUCCUGGCGCUGAACUUUUUCUUGUUUGUAUGUCUCUUGUUUUUCAGUAUACCAAUAUAAUUAUUUAAAAUGAAAUAUUCUUCUGAUAACCAAACUGCAGCGCACUAAAUAUAUUUAAAACUUUUUACGAAGAAGUAGGCCUACACAAAACGCGUCUCAAAUCUGUAUAUGCAUUUUUAUCAGACCAUUUGACGGGGUCGUGCAACUUAAUGAUAAUACUUUUGUCAUUGAAUUGUUCAUCUAAAUGUUUAAUCUAAUGUUACACUAACUUACGUUGCCUUUAUUGUUUGUUACUUUUGCAGAUGGGAGAGAUUGCUGUGGAGUUCUGAAGUUCAUCGUUUAAAGCGUAACUAAACCCCUGGUCAGAGCCUGACUCCACUCACUGCAAUAUUUGAAAAAUGCAAGAAAAGUAGGCAGAUCCCAACGGAGAAAGAGGGGAUGAACUAAGCUUGUACCAAGUGUGUGGUGAGAUCGUUACAAGGGUGUGGUGAGCUUGAACCUGCUUACGUCACGAGUUCUUUUUUGGACCCAACAUCCAAUAGAAAAAUUCAACUGCAGUAGCCACCGUUCAACCUGAAGAGGGCAGCACUCAGUUGUUUUUACACCAUAUAUUGUAGUAUUGAAACACUUUAUAUCCAAAUGUCAAAAAACUUACUAAAAUGAAUGAACAGCACUAAUAAAGCAUCAUUCUUACAGAUCAUUAACUAAAAAAAGUUGGUUUAGGGUUUAGUUACUCUUUAAAUGUUUUCGUUUUUAAUAUAUUAAAAUGUUUUUUAUGAUACAAUGUUCUACAUGUUUAUUGCCAAUUUUAUGUGUAAUAUAAGCAAAUUAUCUACCCUAUUAUAUUAUUAUCUAAGUCUAUAAAUUCUAUAAAUGUUCCUGUGAUUAAUGAUUUUGAUUUUGAUUUGUCUACGAAUAAAGAAUGGAUCAACAUG